rnacentral:rRNA from 1 species
UGGCGGCGUGCUAAUACAUGCAAGUCGAGCGGGAUCUCUGGAUUCGUCUGGGGGUGAGAGCGGCGGACGGGUGAGUAACACGUAGGCGACCUGCCCCGAAGACGGGGAUAACCACCGGAAACGAUGGCUAAUACCCGAUGUGCUCGGCAAUUCGGUUUGUCGAGUAAAGCUCCGGUGCUUCGGGAUGGGCCUGCGGCCUAUCAGCUAGUUGGUAGGGUAACGGCCUACCAAGGCGAAGACGGGUAGGGGGCGUGAGAGCGUGAUCCCCCACAAUGGCACUGAGACACGGGCCAUACUCCUACGGGAGGCAGCAGUCAGGGAUAUUGCACAAUGGGCGAAAGCUUGAUGCAGCGACGCCGCGUGGGCGAUGAAGGCCUUCGGGUUGUAAAGCCCUUUUCUGGGGGAAGAGACAAGGACGGUACCCCAGGAAUAAGCGUCGGCUAACUACGUGCCAGCAGCCGCGGUAAAACGUAGGACGCGAGCGUUAUCCGGAUUCACUGGGCGUAAAGAGCGUUGAGGCGGCUCCGUAAGUUGGACGUUAAAGCCCCCGGCCUAACUGGGGGAGGCCGUUCAAUACUGCGGGGCUUGAGGGCAGCAGAGGGAGGUGGAAUUCCUGGUGUAGUAGUGAAAUGCGUAGAUAUCAGGAGGAACACCCGUGGCGAAGGCGGCCUCCUGGGCUGCUCCUGACGCUGAAGGCGAAAGCUAGGGGAGCAAACGGGAUUAGAAACCCCGGUAGUCCUAGCCGUAAACGAUGGAUGCUGGGCGUGGGGGGUAUAGACUCCCUCCGUGCCGAAGCUAACGCGUUAANCAUCCCGCCUGGGGACUACGGCCGCAAGGCUAAAACUCAAACGAAUUGACGGGUCCCGCACAAGCAGCGGAGCGUGUGGUUCAAUUCGAUGUUACACGAAGAACCUUACCUGGGGUUUGACAUGUGGGUAGUAGUGAAGCGAAAGCGGAACGACCCUUCGGGGAACCUACACAGGUGCUGCAUGGCUGUCGUCAACUCGUGCCGUGAGGUGUCGGUUAAGUCCCGUAACGAGCGCCACCCUCGCCCUUAAUUACA